rnacentral:rRNA from 1 species
AACGAACGCUGGCGGCAUGCCUAACACAUGCAAGUCGAACGAGAUCUUCGGGUCUAGUGGCGCACGGGUGCGUAACGCGUGGGAAUCUGCCCUUUGGUUCGGAAUAACAGUUGGAAACGACUGCUAAUACCGGAUGAUGACGAGAGUCCAAAGAUUUAUCGCCAGAGGAUGAGCCCGCGUAGGAUUAGCUAGUUGGUGUGGUAAAGGCGCACCAAGGCGACGAUCCUUAGCUGGUCUGAGAGGAUGAUCAGCCACACUGGGACUGAGACACGGCCAAGCCUCCUACGGGAGGCAGCAGUGGGGAAUGUUGGAAAAUGGGCGAAAGCCUGAUCCAGCAAUGCCGCGUGAGUGAUGAAGGCCUUAGGGUUGUAAAGCUCUUUUACCCGGGAUGAUAAUGACAGUACCGGGAGAAUAAGCUCCGGCUAACUCCGUGCCAGCAGCCGCCGUAA